rnacentral:rRNA from 1 species
GACGAACGCUGGCGGCGUGCUUAACACAUGCAAGUCGAACGGAAAGGCCCUGCUUUUGUGGGGUGCUCGAGUGGCGAACGGGUGAUUAACACGUGAGUAACCUGCCCUUGACUUUGGGAUAACUUCAGGAAACUGGGGCUAAUACCGGAUAGGAGCUCCUGCUGCAUGGUGGGGGUUGGAAAGUUUCGGCGGUUGGGGAUGGACUCGCGGCUUAUCAGCUUGUUGGUGGGGUAGUGGCUUACCAAGGCUUUGACGGGUAGCCGGCCUGAGAGGGUGACCGGCGACAUUGGGACUGAGAUACGGCCCAGAGUCAUACGGGAGGCAGCAGGGGGGAAUAUUGCACAAUGGGCGGAAGCCUGAGGCAGCAACGCCGCGUGCGGGAUGACGGCCUGCGGGGUGUAAACCGCUUUCGCCUGAGACGAAGCGUGAGUGACGGUAAUGGGUAAAGAAGCACCGGCUAACUACGUG